rnacentral:rRNA from 1 species
UACGUAGGGACCAAGCGUUGUUCGGAUUUACUGGGCGUAAAGGGCGCGUAGGCGGUGCGGUAAGUCACUUGUGAAAUCUCUGAGCUUAACUCAGAACGGCCAAGUGAUACUGCAGUACUAGAGUGCGGAAGGGGCAAUCGGAAUUCUUGGUGUAGCGGUGAAAUGCGUAGAUAUCGAGAGGAACACCUGAGGUGAAGACGGGUUGCUGGGCCGACACUGACGCUGAGGCGCGAAAGCGUGGGGAGCAAACAGG